CGAUAUGGUGGCUGUGCGUGGGAGACUCUCGGGUCUGCCGGGUCUUAUACCUCUCGGUUCGCUAACCCGCGUACAGCUGCCACCCUU
rnacentral:antisense_RNA from 1 species